CUGCUGCCGCCCGCGCCAUGGCUGGCAAAGCACACAGGCUGAGCGCUGAGGAGAGGGACCAGCUGCUGCCAAACCUGAGGGCUGUGGGGUGGAAUGAGCUGGAAGGCCGUGAUGCCAUCUUCAAGCAGUUUCAUUUCAAAGACUUCAACAGGGUAUGGCACCAGGGUGGGACAGAGUUUUCUGAGACGGGCUGAUGGGGUCACCUUACAAAGCAUGUUCUCUCCCUUCACGUCUUGUUAGCCAAGACUCUCAGACACCACACUCAUCCAGUUAUUUGGGCACUGUGCCAGUGGGGAAAUUAAUUUUCCUGUCUAACUCAGAAAGUAUCAUCUUUGGGGAUUGGAGAGCCAUAGGAGGAUGUGUCUUGGGCUCUCCCUUCCUGGAACUUUUAGCAGCAGUCUUCUGAGGAGAUAGUUCAAGUGGAAACCAUGCACAUCUGAAGACAUUUGAACAGACGGCCAAGACUGGCCAGGCCAAAAGCCUGUUGUGGUGUUUCCACCUUGUUGACAUCCUAAAUAGCAAGACUUUCUUCCUACUGCAAGGACAAUCUCUAACUCAAGCCUGAGAACCAGUGACAGGAUGUCAAGGGGGAAAUGAUUAUAGAGGAGUCUCCUGGGGGGAAGCUAAUUCAUCCUCCUGCGUCUAGGCCUUGAAUUGGUGAUGUCCAGAAGUCCUUUCUCUUAGAACACUAACCUGGCUCUCACUCCACUUAAAUAGGCCUUUGGGUUCAUGACAAGAGUGGCCCUGCAGGCUGAGAAACUGGACCACCAUCCUGAAUGGUUUAACGUGUACAACAAGGUCCACAUCACGCUGAGCACCCAUGAGUGUGCCGGCCUUUCAGAACGGGACAUAAACCUGGCCAGCUUCAUCGAACAAGUAGCAGUGUCCAUGACAUAGACCCUGCCCUUCCUCUUUGAAUUCUUCCGGGGGAAGGGGUGACUGAACUGGGAGUCCAGGGAGGGAGCUGAGGAGCCCUUACCCUCCCACCACUCCCCUCCCAAGACCCAGCCGCCGCCGUUGAGGGCUGAGUCCUUGCUGUGGGAUGUGCCAGUGUCCCCACCAACACCAGGAAUUUAGACCUUUUCCCUGCACCACUCUCUUCAUCCUGGGGGCUCUGUUACACUAAUUUGAAUAAACUCUCCCCUUUCUUUGCAACUUCCCAGCAACAAUAAUGAUUUUCUUGCCAGGCCGUCUCUUGCUCCCUAAUUCAUUUCCCAGGAAGCUGUGAUACAGGGUGAAAUAAAGUCUUGUCUUAGAAACCAGGACCCUAAACCCCACACUAUGUAAUAGAAACACAUGUGUUUUUAUGUCUCAAAUAAA
rnacentral:lncRNA from 1 species